UAAGCUUGAUGUUAUGACGGAAGUUCUAGUAGCAGUACUGGAUCGCACUAAAACCAGUAAUCAGAGUGCAAUGCAUAUUAUUUCUGCUGUCAUUACUAGUCUUGGAUUAGAUAUUGAUAAUUAUAAUAUCAGUUACACGACUAUUCGCAAUGCCCGAUUAAAAUUCAGAAAAACAGUUGCUGGGAAUUUGAAAGACGGGAUAGAGGAAACUGCACAAAAUCUCAUCGUACACUGGGACGAUGAAUCUACUGGAGCUAAUGAAGCUGAAGUUAUUUUUGAAGCGUUAAAUGAGUGGAAUAUUACUGACAAUAUAGUAGGGAUAUGCUUUGACACUACUAGUGUAAAUACUGGUGAUAAAAGCGACACCAUAUUUUUGAAAUAAUGUUGAAAAAUGCAGCAGCAGUAGCGUGGCUAAGUACUAAUGGUCCUAAUGUAACGAUUUUUGUCAGAUUUAAAAGUAAUUGGGAAAAAAUAGACAAGUUAAAAUAUGACAUCGGUACAGAAGAUGUUAUAAUUAAAGAUAUCCCGGACCAAAAAAAAAAAUACUCUACUACCCUUCAUCGAAGAUCCUCUACAGAAUCGAACUUUAAGAGAUGACUAUCAUGAACUUUUGACGUUGAGCUACAUUUUUUUGGGAGGUGUACCAAACAAAGGUAUAAAAUUUAGAGCUCCUGG
rnacentral:misc_RNA from 1 species